CCUACGGGUGGCAGCAGUCGAGAAUCAUUCACAAUGGGGGAAACCCUGAUGGUGCGACGCCGCGUGGGGGAAUGAAGGUCUUCGGUUUGUAAACUCCUGUCAUGUGGGAGCAAAUUAUAAAGAUAGUACCACAAGAGGAAGAGACGGCUAACGCGGUGCCAGCAGCCGCGGUAAUACAGAGGUCUCAAGCGUUGUCCGGAAUUACUGGGCGUAAGGCGUGCGUAGGCUGUUUCGUAAGUCGUGUGUGAAAGGCGCGGGCUCAACCCGCGGACGGCACAUGAUACUGCGAGACUAGAGUAAUGGAGGGGCAACCGGAAUUCUCGGUGUAGCAGUGAAAUGCGUAGAUAUCGAGAGGAACACUCGUGGCGAAGGCGGGUUCCUGGACAUUAACUGACGCUGAGGCACGAAGGCCAGGGGAGCGAAAGGGAUUAGAUACCCUAGUAGUC
rnacentral:rRNA from 1 species